AAAGAAACCAACCGGGAUUGCCUCAGUAACGGCGAGUGAAGCGGCAAGAGCUCAAAUUUGAAAGCUGGCUCCUUCGGGGUCCGCAUUGUAAUUUGCAGAGGAUGCUUCGGAUACGGCCCCUGUCUAAGUGCCCUGGAACGGGCCGUCGGAGAGGGUGAGAAUCCCGUCUGGGAUGGGGUGUCCGUGUCCGUGUGAAGCUCCUUCGACGAGUCGAGUUGUUUGGGAAUGCAGCUCUAAAUGGGUGGUAAAUUUCAUCUAAAGCUAAAUACUGGCCGGAGACCGAUAGCGCACAAGUAGAGUGAUCGAAAGAUGAAAAGCACUUUGAAAAGAGAGUUAAAAAGCACGUGAAAUUGUUGAAAGGGAAGCGCUUGCGACCAGACUCGCCCUCGGGGUUCAGCCGGCAUUCGUGCCGGUGUACUUCCCCGGGGGCGGGCCAGCGUCGGUUUGGGCGGCCGGUCAAAGGCUCCCGGAAUGUAGUACCCUCCGGGGUACCUUAUAGCCGGGAGUGCAAUGCGGCCAGCCUGGACCGAGGAACGCGCUUCGGCACGGACGCUGGCAUAAUGGUCGCAAACGAC
rnacentral:rRNA from 1 species